rnacentral:tmRNA from 1 species
GGGGCUGUAUGGAAUCGACAGGAAAUGCAGUCUGCAAGUAAGCAUGUCGUAGGAUGAUAGGAUGCUACGUUAAAAACGCUUAUCGAAUUACAAAUGGCAAUACUUCUUUUGCCUUGGCUGCUUAAUCUAAUAGAUUAAAAAGCCUUUUUGCCGCCACUCUGAUACCUGAUAAGGGUCGCCGCAAAUCAUAAAACCUCAGGUUGGUCUGUGCAAAGUCUCGGUGCGUGGGCGAGAUUUAGAGAAUAAGGGAACUUAGGUCGUCAUUCUAUCUCAUGAUCUCCUGACAAUUCAAAGAGUGACUAAACAUGUAGAAAGUUUGUUGACACUUUCUCUGGACGCGGGUUCGAAACCCGCCAGCUCCACUU